UGGCAGAGGAAGCUGACUUUCCUAACCUCCCGUGACACUCUGGGAAACCCUGGUGGAAAUGAGGAAGGGGUUGGGCUGAGGCUGAGGGAGGUGCCGCCUUCCUCAGGCUGUUGGGGCUGGGAUGCCAGUCCUGGUGCCUUUUGAAGGGAAGUGCUCUGCCAGGCCUGGGGACACGUGGUUGGGGACCUCCAUCAGGCAGGACCAUUGGCCAUGGAGACCAGGGCAGCAGGUGGGCUGGGAGCACCUGGAUGCUGGUUCUGGCUCCACCCCUUAACCCUUUGGGUCUUGGAGACGUGUCGUCUCUUCUCAUAGGGGAGGGUUGGAGGCAUCCAGGCUUGUAGGGCACCUACUGGGCAUCAUGCCGGCAGGCGUGUUUAUAGCCUGUAACUCACUGAAUUCCCCCAGCAAUGCUGUGAGUUGGUACUUGUAUCCCUCUGCCCAGAUGCCACAGCUGGGGACCGGGGAGGUCCGUUCGCUCCUCAGUUACACAGCUGCUGAUUGCUGGAACAGGGACUUAAGCCCGACUCAGCCCUGAAGCCUCCGCUCUGUUCACCAAGCCAAGUGGCAGCCUCACGAGGACACGGGGAGUGGGAAGCUAUCCAGCUGAGAAGCCCAGUGCCAGACUCUAGAAAGUUCUCAUGAGGAAGACAUGAACAUCCUUCAGGCCCCAGGGUUAACCACUUUAGCUUCCAGUUUUCUCAUCUUUCAGAUGGAGUGAGCUCACCUGCCUGCUUUCCUCACAGGGCAGAGUGAGUGCGGAAUUUGCAGGUGCUUUAAAGUGAGGAGGGGUGGAAGAAAAAAUCAUUAAAAAAGUGGAUGGGGCUGUGCGUGGUGGCUGGAGUUAGCCUCCGGCUCCGAGGUGCAGGGGGAGCUUCUCAGCUGCAGAAGGUCUCAGGUGACUCUCUUGCCCUGUCCCUGCUCGGGCGCAUCCCCCCACCCCCCGUUUCUCAAGGCAGGAAAGAAGUGGAAAUAUUAUCUGUUUACUGCUGCUCAGCCAGUCCCAGCCCUCAUGGGGUUCGGCAGCCCUCCCUCCCCAGUUUAAUAUCUCUUGCUGCUCCCCACGGUGCCUGUGCAUUCGUCUGCUUAAAGACUACUUUUCUAGCUCUCAAGGUGGAGCUUGGCACCGAUUUUCUUCUUCUGGCCCGGGGUUUAGAUAAACAGCAUGUGCACAGGGACGCCUAGAAAGGAGCGGAGGACACGCGCCGGCAGCGGGUCGGCGCUUUCCCCGGGCAGAUGGGACGCGGGCCUGUCAGCCACUCCGUCUCGCCUCCCCACCUCCCCUCUCGGAUCCCCGCAGGGCCUUUUUCUGCACUUGGGGCAAAAUCCACAUUUCUGUUGCGGCUUUUGAGACCUGUCUGCCCUCUUUCUUGCCCGUCCGCGCGCUUGUCCCUCAGUCCAGCCACACUGGCCUCCGGGACUUGAAUUAGGCCCUUCCUUCCUCCUGGAACGUUCCCCCCCACCCCCACCUGAAGGACUUCCCACCACUUAGCAUCCGCACCUGCAUCGGCCACGCCCCCUGGCGGGCUUGUCUCUUCAGGGUCUGGCCAUUUCUGCCUCGGGCUGUGGUAGCGUUUUCCUCCGUGUGUCUAAGGUCUGCCUCCCUCGCUGGUCGGAAGCUCUGAGAGGGACCCUGAGUCCCAGCAGCAGGGGCUUCUCCCCGCCCCGCCCCUCCGGGUUCUCUGGGUGGCCUCGCCGUGUGACCCGGGGGUCCAGGUGCCGUUCAGGCAGGGUCCGGGGUGCCCGCCUCGUGCCGGCUGUCCCGCCCUCGCGUGUUCCCAGCUGGAGGCCCCCCUACCCCCGGCCAUCAGCCCGAGGCCUCACCUGGCCCCCUCCUCCCUCCCUCGGGUUUCCCUGGGGGUUUGGAGUCUCAUGUGAGGAGUCCAUGGGGCCCAGGAGCCCUAACUCUCCACCCCGAGGGCACCCAGACCGCAGGUGUGCAGGGAGAGGGAGGUCUGCUGCCUGGGGUGGGGGUGGUUCCGUUUCUGGCGCUGAGGAACCAGGCGAUGGAGGCCGUCUUCCUCGUGCUCCGAGGCCCCAGGCCCCAGGCCCCAGGCCCCAGGCAGGAUGGCCGUCCCUUGCGGCCUUUUAAGCGCUGGAGAUGAGGGCUCGACCUGGAGAAGGAGCGCAUCCUCUCCGCGGCUCGCACCCAGCCGCAUCCAGGGUGCCCAUUUCUGCUAGGAGGAGGCUUCCAGUCUGUUUCUUUGGGGCAGUGCUUUUCCUCCCCGACCUUGCCCGUGUUGGGCAAAGGGCGCUGCACACACGUGGCCGCACUAAGGUGAGCUGGUGUCUCCUCCGCUUCCUUUGGGAGGUUUACAGUUGUUACCGAACCGAACUUGGGUCUGCUCGACCCGGCGCAGUAAAGCCAACCUGCUGCCCCGGGUCGAGGUGCAGGGAAGAGCAGCAUUUACUGCAGGCAGCCUGUACUCAGAAAGCCCCAGCCCCCCAACGGCUCUCCGGGAAAGGCUUUAAGGACAGGCGAGGGAGGGGCUGUGGGGGUGUGAUGGGCUCCUGGACGAUCUUCUGCUUGUUCGGUGGUGGAGUAACGGGAGGGGGGGGCAGUGGUUGCGCCAGUGCUGCUUCCAGCUGGCCUGGGCUCUGGGAGCGUGUGGGCAGCGUGCAGGUUAACUUCCUCCGCCUGGCGGGAGUCUCGGGGCUGCAGAACGGCUCAAAGGACGUGGCUCAGAAGGUGAUCGCCCCUGAGGAGCAACGAAAGGGCCUUGACUUUGCUGAAUGGCUGAACUGUGAUUAUCUUGUCUUGCUUGACUGUUUUCCUUUAAUUUUCUCUGUUCUCUGAUGUCGUUUGCUCUGUGGAACUGAGGGAAGGCCUAGGAGCCUCAAGUUUCUCUGUGGGCAGGGGACAUGGUGGGGGGGAGUCUGUCGGGGAAGACCCCCAGGUUCUGCUCAGUUAUACUGUGGGGGUGGGUGAUUCUGCCUGGGGGUGGGGGCAGGAGGGAGGGAGGGGCCCGCCUUCCCGCUCCUCCUGGGGCUUCUCCCUCGUUCUGGAGUCUCCACUGCGGUAAAGGAGGUGGAUUUGAUCUCCUUGUUUGACAGGUGAGGAUGCGGGUUCAGAGAGGCCAACUCAUCUGCCUGAGGUAGAACAGCUGGUUCCUGACGGGGCCAGGUGCCUCGAACCCAGGCCCACCUGCUCACCGAGCAGAGUGGUUUCUGGCCGUGCUGCCUCCAGGGAAGUGUGAAUAUUGAGGGCCUGCUCUGUGGGGUGGACGGUCACUCUGUCACCUACCUGAUUGCCUUCACUUCCCAGGCCAACCCGCGGUGUAGGUAGUGUGAUCCCCUCGUAACAGAAGGGGGACAUUGAGGCUCGGGGGUGGGUAGCUCUGCUCCGAGUGGGACCUGGGCUCGUGGUGGGGCUGGUCCCGGCGAGGGCUUUAGAGGCAAAGAGGGUUGGUGUCAUUGUCCAGUUCAAGUGAGCCCAGUAGGGGUGCGGUGUGGAGGGCGUGAGACCCUGAGGAAGGCUUUCGGCUGCAAGCAUUGAACACCUGCUGACGGAGUUCCUCUUGUGGCGCAGUGGAAGCGCAUCCAACUAGGAACCAUGAGGUUGCAGGUUCCAUCCCUGGCCUCGCUCAGUGGGUUAGGAAUCUGGCGUUGCUCGAAUCUGGCGUUGCUGUGUCUGUGGAUAUAGGCUGGGGGC
ensembl:lncRNA